UACGAAGGGGGCUAGCGUUGUUCGGAAUUACUGGGCGUAAAGCGCACGUAGGCGGAUAUUUAAGUCAGGUGUGAAAGCCCCGGGCUCAACCUGGGAAUUGCAUUUGAGACUGAAUAGCUAGGGUGCGGAAGAGGGAAGCGGAAUUCCUGGUGUAGCGGUGAAAUGCGCAGAUAUCAGGAGGAACACCUAUUGCGAAGGCAGCUCGCUGGGACGUAACUGACGCUGAGACGCGAAAGCGUGGGGAGCAAACAGG
rnacentral:rRNA from 1 species